rnacentral:misc_RNA from 1 species
GGAAUAUUACAUCGCGUCAAAACAUAGAAGCUCUGUUUUCGCGUCGCUUCAAGCACAUAGAAAGAAAGAGAAAGAGAGAUGGGAGGAGCUCAGGCGUUGAAGAGAAUCCCUCGCAUCAAGUUUCCGCAGAGACAUCUCAAAUCCUCUGGUUCUGCAUCACAUUCUCAAGAGGCAUCUACAACUGGAAAUGCUGAUCUAACUUUCUUCUCAAGUUCAAAAACUUCAACAACAGUUGGAGGGAAAGCUUCUCUUCAGCCUAAACGGACACCUCUCUCCAAUGAGGAGAUUGAGGCAAUCUUGUUGGGAGGCUGCAUCUGAUCUUUUCAUGGAACUUCAGUAAGAGAGUUGGCAUUCUUUUCAUGAUUCUUAAUUUGAAAGUGAAACAUUAGAAGUUUUCUAAUUCAUUGGCUUUUGUCGGAACUUGCUGAGGGAUAAAUUCAUAAAUCCUCAACGUUAGACAACAAAAAGAUAAUGAGAAAUUAACUUACGUUGGGCAUUUAUAUUUCUUUGAUGCUUAAUGUUGUUUGAUCAUUACAAAUAGAAUUUAUUUUUUAAUCAGAAAUAGAAUUUAUUUCAUUCUAAGCUGGAACUUACAGAAAAAUGCAGAAGCCAUAUGAGCAAAACAUAGAUGCAAGAGAAAAUAUAAACAGGUAGAUUAUUGAGAUUUCUCAAUUAUCUCUUCGAUUAUGACAGACCUGGGAUUUAUCCCGGGAGGGCCCUUUUCCCUGCGUUGAAGCUCUUCAAGCCGGAAAGUUAUUAGCCGAUCCCAGUUUCCUCCUUCAAAAAGAACUGCUGCCUUCCCAUCAGUGAUUCGCUGAACAAUACCACAGUACUUGUAGUAUGGGUUGUUUGGGUUAUUCACAAUGGCAAUCAUUCCAGGCAUCAGUAGCGGUAAUUCAGGUGGUUCUGGCUUCUUUGUAGCAGUAAGCCCCUGUAUAUCUCCUGAAUCCGCAGCAGACUGUUUUUUAGGAGGUGGGUUUUCUUCUAUGAACUUUUUCAAUCCUUUUUCUCCACCAGGAAAUCCCCCUGUUAACCCCAUUAGCUCCUUUUCAAAAGCAUCUUCUGGGACACUACCAGUCGUUGGUGCUUCCAAGGUGCCUGAAUUUUCCCCUUUAGCAGGGGCUGGUGAUGAUUCAACGUCUCUCUUUAGCUCUUGUUGGAUACCUUUUUCCCCAUUGCAGAGUCCUCUGCCUCCCAGCAUCUCCAACAGGUCGAAUUUGGCACAUGGCUUUAGCUUAAAUCUCGACUCCUUGGGAAUCAAAGGGUAUGGCCUGCGAGGGCCAUUGGAGAGGCUAUUUUGGCCAAAGAAUUGGGAUCUAAACAGAGAACCUUGAAGAGUGAUCGAAGAAGCCAUGGUCAUUCAGAAGCCUACCCUUUGAGGAGAGGAAAAGCAUCCUAUUCUAAUCCUGGCCAC